AGGACGAACGCUGGCGGCGUGCCUAACACAUGCAAGUCGAACGAGGUCCAACCGGUGGCAACACUGGUGAAGACCGAGUGGCGAACGGGUGAGUAACACGUGAGCAACCUGCCUCGAAGACUGGGAUAACCCCGGGAAACCGGAGCUAAUACCGGAUACCCCCACCGGGUCGCAUGGCCUGGUGAGGAAAUGGAUUCCGCUUUGAGAGGGGCUCGCGGCCUAUCAGCUUGAUGGUGGGGUAACGGCCUACCAUGGCACCGACGGGUAGCUGGUCUGAGAGGACGAUCAGCCACACUGGGACUGAGACACGGCCCAGACUCCUACGGGAGGCAGCAGUGGGGAAUCUUGCGCAAUGGGCGAAAGCCUGACGCAGCAACGCCGCGUGUGGGACGAAGGCCUUCUGGGUUGUAAACCACGUUUCAGCAGGGACGAUUGUGACGGUACCUGCAGAAGAAGCCCGGCAACUACGCGCCAGCAGCCGCGGU
rnacentral:rRNA from 1 species